GACGAACGCUGGCGGCGUGCUUAACACAUGCAAGUCGAACGGAAAGGCCCUGCUUUUGUGGGGUGCUCGAGUGGCGAACGGGUGAGUAACACGUGAGUAACCUGCCCUUGACUUUGGGAUAACUUCAGGAAACUGGGGCUAAUACCGGAUAGGAGCUCCUGCUGCAUGGUGGGGGUUGGAAAGUUUCGGCGGUUGGGGAUGGACUCGCGGCUUAUCAGCUUGUUGGUGGGGUAGUGGCUUACCAAGGCUUUGACGGGUAGCCGGCCUGAGAGGGUGACCGGCCACAUUGGGACUGAGAUACGGCCCAGACUGCUACGGGAGGCAGCAGUGGGGAAUAUUGCACAAUGGGCGGAAGCCUGAUGCAGAAACGCCGCGUGCGGGAUGACGGCCUUCGGGUUGUAAACCGCUUUCGCAUGUGACGAAGCGUGAGUGACGGUAAUGGGUAAAGAAGCACCGGCUAACUACGUG
rnacentral:rRNA from 1 species